rnacentral:sRNA from 1 species
GAGAGAGAAAGAGAUCAGAGAGAAAAGAGUCAGAGUCAAAGAACUAAGGGAGGCCAAAUGGUCCCUUUUACAGUAAGCCAGACCUACUGCGCUGUUGCUAGGUAACCGUUGGGCGGAGCCUAGAGGAAUGCUAAUAGACCAGAAAGGGGUGGAGGAGCUCCAAGUUCACUAUAUAUUUGUGAAAAUGUCUUUAUGAAGCCCAGUAUUUCCGUAUGUAAUGAAUAUACACAGAUAAGAGAGCCUCAAUUUUAGGACUCUUCAGAACCUGUGUCACAGAAAUUACCUGUCCUGAAACCAAAAGGACACCGGUGUGGAGAAUCACAGGGCUGAGUCACUGAGGGGCACUUCCCAAAUGCAAGCAUCUGGUAGACGGCUGGAUACCUGAGAGCCUUCUACAUACUCAGGAGAGACAAGCCACUCUCUAAUGACCUGCCAACUCUCGAAUAGUCCUCAUCAGCCAGACUUAAAGGCUGUGAUUUUGACACCCCCCCCCCACAGUAAAAAUCUGAACAAUCAA